rnacentral:lncRNA from 1 species
CGAGUCCCCCGGGAGGCUGCGCUCUAGGGAAGUUUCCCACCGGUGGCCCGGAGCAGGACAGGGCGCGCAGCCGACCCUCCCCGCCUGACCAGCUCCGCGGCGCAGACUGCGAACUUGAGCAAAACUCCUUCCUCCCCGCGUCCCUCCCCUCCGGUCCGAGGCCACCAGCCCCGCCAUCUCAGCCCUCAGCCUUCGGUCUGUGCCACGGUCGCCAAGACCUCACCAGAGUGUGGUGGAGAGAAGGGGAGGGGGAAAUCCCCAGCACAACCAAACUGCGGCCAAAAAAAAAAAGAAAUUCCUUCUGAGACCGAUUCCCUCAACGGGUGUGGAAAACCCCAAACAGGCAGGUUGUCAACUGAGAACGAAGAAAACAAGUUCCUGGUCUCUAGCCCAGACCUCAUCCAUCCAAAUGGCCAGAGCCCCUCCACACUGUUCCUUCUGCCCGGGAAUCAGCAUCUAGCAGUCAGGCGUGGGAAGCACUGGCCAGGAACAGCUUCCAGACUGCCCAGUCCCGAGGGUGGCUGCCUGGUGCCAAGAGCAGACCACUCCCAGAGACAGACCCUCUGCUGACUCCAGGCUCACCAGGGUUACUCAGUCCUGAGGCCACUGCGUGCACCAUUAAAAAAAAAGUCCCAGUUCCUCCUGGGACCCCUGACUCAACCUCAGCGCUGCCUGACCCUCAACCUGUCUCUGUCACAUCCUGACUCACCCACCUCCUCCAGGCAGCCCCCCAACAGGCCAGCUGGCAGAUGGGGAAAAGGGUGGUGGUGGAUGCCCCCUUUCCCUAGGAACAUGCACACUCUCACUCCCCUGCCCCCUUCACCACUGUCUCAUUCUCACCGCGGGGCCUUUGCACUUGCUGAUCCCUGUGCCUGGAAUGCUCUUCCCCACCUUCUAAUGUACCACAUGUAAUGUAUGUAUUUUGUAGGCGCUUUUGUUUGUCUGCUCACUGGCGCCUCCUCCGUCCCUGGGAUGGUGCCUGGCACAGAUUCAAUAAGUAUCUGGUGACUGAACGACUGAGCCUGAUCCAGACGCUUCCUCUUCUCUGAACCCAGGGCCCCUCUGGAGAACAAUGGGAGGGGAUGAAGAACAGUGGGGCAAGGACAGGUGGUAUGACUCAUCCAAGGUCACUGGAGGGCCCUUGGUGUAUUCUGGAUUCCGAGCAC